rnacentral:rRNA from 1 species
AUGCACACAGAUUUGUUCUUACCUUGCAAGCAUCGUUGGACGAAGACAGUAGGCAUGAUCAUGGACAAACGCAGUGAGUGCUCAACCCAUCUGUGCAUAUGCUGCACUUCAUGCCCCCGUUCCGCUGCCAUCCUUAUUUUGCCUCUCCUGGAUCUGGCUCCCCAGAGUGUCGUCUUGCUGUCCCUCCCCAGGUUGCCUCGAUCUUGCAGGAGAGGAGCACGGGAGGGCGGUGGCUGGAGUCGGCAGUGGCUGAAGGGAACGCUUGAGAAGGGGAUGCAAUGGAACUGUGAAGGGCGGGUCGGCGAGGAAUCCCGCACAGCGCGACACAUGGGCGAGCAGCGAAGGAGGUUUGGGGUGGCGCCCGAAAAUAUUGGAAGGGGAUGGGGAGGUGGCGGAUGGUUGGAGAAGAAGACCGGCCGCGCGGCCGCGCAUGGCGGCGGCGGCUGUGCCGUACCCGUACGCGAGGAGGAGAGCCCGUGGUCGUGCAUGUGUGUGGUCUUUGUUUAG